AAGCUGCAGCACGACUCUGGCUGGCCCGGCUCUGCUUCUGAGCAGUGCACACCGUUGAAGAAAAGGAACUGUUGUGGUUUGAUUGCAGUGACAUAUGUCAUGUUUCAAAGAACAUUAACAAGACCAUGCACCAGAGAGGAUGCAAGAAUACAUUGUUUCUUCAUUUGAAGCACAAAUAAAAAUUGUCAUUUUGAUAGAAUUGGAAAA